AACCAGCACCUCAAGUGGUCAGGAUGAUUAUUGGGCCUAAAGAAUCCGUAGCCGGCUCUGUAAGUUUUCGGUUAAAUCCGUACGCUUAACGUACAGGCUGCCGGGAAUACUGCAGAGCUAGGUAGUGGGAGAGGUAGACGGUACUCGGGAGGAAGGGGUAAAAUCCUUUGAUCUAUUGAUGACCACCUGUGGCGAAGGCGGUCUACCAGAACACGUACGACGGUGAGGGAUGAAAGCUGGGGGAGCAAACCGGAUUAGAUACCCGGGUAGUCCCAGCUGUAAACUAUGCAAACUCAGUGAUGCAUUGGCUCGCGGCCAAUGCAGUGCUGCAGGGAAGCCGUUAAGUUUGCCGCCUGGGAAGUGCGUACGCAAGUAUGAAACUUAAAGGAAUUGGCGGGGGAGCACCACAAGGGGAGAAGCCUGCGGUUCAAUUGGAGUCAACGCCAGAAAUCUUACCCGGAGAGACAGCAGAAUGAAGGUCAAGCUGAAGACUUUACCAGACAAGCUGAGAGGUGGUGCAUGGCCGUCGCCAGCUCGUGCCGUGAGAUGUCCUGUUAAGUCAGGUAACGAGCGAGAUCCCCGCCUCUAGUUGCCACCAUUACUCUCAGGAGUAGUGGGGCGAAUUAGCGGGUCCCCCGCAGUUAAUGCGGAGGAAGGAAGGGGCCACGGCAGGUCAGUAUGCCCCGAAACUCUGGGGCCACACGCGGGCUGCAAUGGUAACGACAAUGGGUCUUCGAAUUCGAAAGGAUGAGGUAAUCCUCAAACCUUUCCCCAGUUAGGACUGAGGGCUGCAACUCGCCCUCACGAAUAUGGAAUCCCUAGUAUCUGCGUGUCACUAUCGCGCGGUGAAUACGUCCCUGCUCCU
rnacentral:rRNA from 1 species